CACAUUUCCCUUUUAUCUCUUUCCUCCCUUUCUUUUCUCUCUCUCUCUCUCUCUCUUUUCUCUCAAAUGGAAGCUCUCAACAAGAAGAAGAAGCAAUUUUGUUUGAGGGGCAUGUUGUCUGGCUCGAGGCCGCUUUUCUGAAUCCAAAAUGAGAUCUCAUAUGAGUGUCGUCGGACCAGGCUUCAUUCCCCCCACAAAUUUUGCUUCAAUUUAAACUUGAUCUUCGUCAUGGGGGGUUUUGAUUCUGUUCAUGUUCUCCUCAUCUGGAUCUACAGGGUGGGAAGAUUUGUGUUUGCUUAGAGGAAUGUUUUUGGAUUGAGCAAUGCAAGGUGGUUUUGACUUGCACAUGUUUAUGUAACAAUACAUGAGCAGCGUCUCCAACAACCCCAACCUCACAAGCCUCUUGGCUCAUUCUUUCUUGGCUGUGGACGUUUACAACCUGCUGCUCAGGGUCAUCUUUUGGUCCCCGCACUGUUUCGGCCUCCAUCGCCGUCAAUGAUAUCGAGUUUUCGAUCGACAUGUUCACACUGGGACGGUGUGCUGCCAGAGCAGCCUCUGAAUCCUCCCUCCCUUCCAGCCAUGGGUUCUUGGGCUUCAUCUCGUGAUUGAACUUCUUGUUCUCAUUGGUCGUAUAUUCAUAAAGAGUUAACUUCAAUUAACUUUUCAAAUAAGAGUGAGCUUUGACGAAUAAUAAAGUUACAUGUUUAAUUAA